UGCUCUGUACAAAACUUUGUGGAAGGGGAAAAACAGGCCCCUGAGUAUGUGCCUCUAUGCUUGAAACUUCUUGAAACUGCUCCUAACUGCUUGUUUGGCUUCUGUAAACCUGCUUGCAUAAGAUAAAAAGAGGAGAAGUCAAUUGCCUAACGGACCCCAGUAAGAUCGGGCGUGCCACAAAAUGUUGAAAAUCCUGAUAAAUAUAUCUUGGUGACAAUAUGUCUCCCCCACCCAGAGACAGGCACAAACAUGUAACUCCAGAACAACUUAAAAUUAAUUGGUCCACAAAGCGCGGGCUCUCGAAGUUUUGAAUUGACUGGUUUGCGAUAUUUUAAAAAUGAUUAGUUUGUAAAAGCGCGGGCUUUGUUGUGAACCCCAUAAAAGCUGUCCCGACUCCACACUCGGGGCCGCAGUCCUCUACCCCUGCGUGGCGUACGACUGUGGGCCCCAGCGCGCUCGGAAUAAAAAUCCUCUUGCUGUUUGCAUCAAGACCGCUUCUCGUGAGUGAUUUGGGGUGUCGCCUCUUCCGAGUCAGGACGAGAGGGAUUUUAACUCGACUGGCCUUUCAGUUUGGUGCGUUGGCCGGGAAACCCGCGACUACCCCUCACACCCGAGAACCGACUUGGAGGUAAAGGGAUCCCCUUUGGAACGUGUGAGUGUGUGUGUCGGCUGGCGUCUCUGUUCUGAGUGUCUGUUUUCGGUGAUGCGCGCUUUCGGUUUGCAGCUGUCCUCUCAGACCGUAAGGACUGGGGGACUGUGAUCAGCAGACGUGCUAGGAGGAUCACAGGCUGCCACCCUGGGGGACGCCCCGGGAGGUGGGGAGAGCCAGGGACGCCUGGUGGUCUCCUUCUGUCGGUCAGAGGACCGAGUUCUGUUGUUGAAGCGAAAGCUUCCCCCUCCGCGGCCGUCCGACUCUUUUGCCUGCUUGUGGAAGACGCGGACGGGUCGCGUGUGUCUGGAUCUGUUGGUUUCUGUUUUGUGUGUCUUUGUCUUGUGCGUCCUUGUCUACAGUUUUAAUAUGGGACAGACGGUGACGACCCCUCUUAGUUUGACUCUCGACCAUUGGACUGAAGUUAAAUCCAGGGCUCAUAAUUUGUCAGUUCAGGUUAAGAAGGGACCUUGGCAGACUUUCUGUGUCUCUGAAUGGCCGACAUUCGAUGUUGGAUGGCCAUCAGAGGGGACCUUUAAUUCUGAGAUUAUCCUGGCUGUUAAAGCAAUUAUUUUUCAGACUGGACCCGGCUCUCAUCCCGAUCAGGAGCCCUAUAUCCUUACGUGGCAAGAUUUGGCAGAGGAUCCUCCGCCAUGGGUUAAACCUUGGCUGAAUAAGCCAAGAAAGCCAGGUCCCCGAAUUCUGGCUCUUGGAGAGAAAAACAAACACUCGGCUGAAAAAGUCAAGCCCUCUCCUCAUAUCUACCCCGAGAUUGAGGAGCCGCCGGCUUGGCCGGAACCCCAAUCUGUUCCCCCACCCCCUUAUCCGGCACAGGGUGCUGCGAGGGGACCCUCUGCCCCUCCUGGAGCUCCGGCGGUGGAGGGACCUGCUGCAGGGACUCGGAGCCGGAGGGGCGCCACCCCGGAGCGGACAGACGAGAUCGCGACAUUACCGCUGCGCACGUACGGCCCUCCCAUACCGGGGGGCCAAUUGCAGCCCCUCCAGUAUUGGCCCUUUUCUUCUGCAGAUCUCUAUAAUUGGAAAACUAACCAUCCCCCUUUCUCGGAGGAUCCCCAACGCCUCACGGGGUUGGUGGAGUCCCUUAUGUUCUCUCACCAGCCUACUUGGGAUGAUUGUCAACAGCUGCUGCAGACACUCUUCACAACCGAGGAGCGAGAGAGAAUUCUGUUAGAGGCUAGAAAAAAUGUUCCUGGGGCCGACGGGCGACCCACGCAGUUGCAAAAUGAGAUUGACAUGGGAUUUCCCUUGACUCGCCCCGGUUGGGACUACAACACGGCUGAAGGUAGGGAGAGCUUGAAAAUCUAUCGCCAGGCUCUGGUGGCGGGUCUCCGGGGCGCCUCAAGACGGCCCACUAACUUGGCUAAGGUAAGAGAGGUGAUGCAGGGACCGAAUGAACCUCCCUCAGUUUUUCUUGAGAGGCUCAUGGAAGCCUUCAGGCGGUUCACCCCUUUUGAUCCUACCUCGGAGGCUCAGAAAGCCUCAGUGGCUCUGGCCUUCAUAGGACAGUCAGCCCUGGAUAUCAGAAAGAAGCUUCAGAGACUGGAAGGGUUACAGGAGGCUGAGUUACAUGAUCUAGUGAAGGAGGCAGAGAAAGUGUAUUACAAAAGGGAGACAGAAGAAGAAAGGGAACAAAGAAAAGAGAGAGAAAGAGAGGAAAGGGAGGAAAGACGUAAUAAACGGCAAGAGAAGAAUUUGACUAAGAUCUUGGCUGCAGUGGUUGAAGGGAAAAGCAAUAGGGAAAGAGAGAGAGAUUUUAGGAAAAUUAGGUCAGGCCCUAGACAGUCAGGGAACCUGGGCAAUAGGACCCCACUCGACAAGGACCAAUGUGCAUAUUGUAAAGAAAAAGGACACUGGGCAAGGGACUGCCCCAAGAAGGGAAACAAAGGACUGAAGGUCUUAGCUCUGGAAGAAGAUAAAGACUAGGGAAGACGGGGUUCGGACCCCCUCCCCGAGCCCAGGGUAACUUUAAAGGUGGAGGGGCAACCAGUUGAGUUUCUGGUUGAUACCGGAGCGAAACAUUCAGUGCUACUACAGCCAUUAGGAAAACUAAAAGAUAAAAAAUCCUGGGUGAUGGGUGCCACAGGGCAACAACAAUAUCCAUGGACUACCCGAAGAACAGUUGACUUGGGAGUGGGACGGGUAACCCACUCGUUUCUGGUCAUACCUGAGUGCCCAGCACCCCUCUUAGGUAGAGACUUACUGACCAAGAUGGGAGCACAAAUUUCUUUUGAACAAGGGAAACCAGAAGUGUCUGCAAAUAACAAACCUAUCACUGUGUUGACCCUCCAAUUAGAUGACGAAUAUCGACUAUAUUCUCCCCUAGUAAAGCCUGAUCAAAAUAUACAAUUCUGGUUGGAACAGUUUCCCCAAGCCUGGGCAGAAACCGCAGGGAUGGGUUUGGCAAAGCAAGUUCCCCCACAGGUUAUUCAACUGAAAGCCAGUGCUGCACCAGUGUCAGUCAGACAGUACCCCUUGAGUAAAGAAGCUCGAGAAGGAAUUCGGCCGCAUGUUCAAAGAUUAAUCCAACAGGGCAUCCUAGUUCCUGUCCAAUCUCCCUGGAAUACUCCCCUGCUACCGGUUAGAAAGCCUGGGACUAAUGACUAUCGACCAGUACAGGACUUGAGAGAGGUCAAUAAACGGGUGCAGGAUAUACACCCAACAGUCCCGAACCCUUAUAACCUCUUGUGUGCUCUCCCACCCCAACGGAGCUGGUAUACAGUAUUGGACUUAAAGGAUGCCUUCUUCUGCCUGAGACUACAUCCCACUAGCCAACCACUUUUUGCCUUCGAAUGGAGAGAUCCAGGUGCGGGAAGAACCGGGCAGCUCACUUGGACUCGACUGCCCCAAGGGUUCAAAAACUCCCCGACCAUCUUUGACGAAGCCCUACACAGAGACCUGGCCAACUUCAGGAUCCAACACCCCCAGGUGACCCUCCUCCAGUACGUGGAUGACCUGCUUCUGGCGGGAGCCACCAAACAGGACUGCUUAGAAGGUACGAAGGCACUACUGCUGGAAUUGUCUGACCUAGGCUACAGAGCCUCCGCUAAGAAGGCCCAGAUUUGCAGGAGAGAGGUAACAUACUUGGGGUACAGUUUGCGGGGCGGGCAGCGAUGGCUGACGGAGGCACGGAAGAGAACUGUAGUCCAGAUACCGGCCCCAACCACAGCCAAACAAGUGAGAGAGUUUUUGGGGACAGCUGGAUUUUGCAGACUGUGGAUCCCGGGGUUUGCGACCUUAGCAGCCCCACUCUACCCACUAACCAAAGAAAAAGGGGAAUUCUCCUGGGCUCCUGAGCACCAGAAGGCAUUUGAUGCUAUCAAAAAGGCCCUGCUGAGCGCACCUGCUCUGGCCCUCCCUGACGUGACUAAACCCUUUACCCUUUAUGUGGAUGAGCGUAAGGGAGUAGCCCGGGGAGUUUUAACCCAAACUCUAGGACCAUGGAGGAGACCUGUUGCCUACCUGUCAAAGAAGCUCGAUCCUGUAGCCAGUGGUUGGCCCAUAUGCCUGAAGGCUAUCGCAGCUGUGGCCAUACUGGUCAAGGACGCUGACAAAUUGACUUUGGGACAGAAUAUAACUGUAAUAGCCCCCAUGCGUUGGAGAACAUCGUUCGGCAGCCCCCAGACCGAUGGAUGACCAACGCCCGCAUGACCCACUAUCAAAGCCUGCUUCUCACAGAGAGGGUCACGUUCGCUCCACCAGCCGCUCUCAACCCUGCCACUCUUCUGCCUGAAGAGACUGAUGAACCAGUGACUCAUGAUUGCCAUCAACUAUUGAUUGAGGAGACUGGGGUCCGCAAGGACCUUACAGACAUACCGCUGACUGGAGAAAUGUUAACCUGGUUCACUGACGGAAGCAGCUAUGUGGUGGAAGACACCUUUUCAGGAUGGGUAGAGGCUUAUCCUACUAAGAAAGAGACUUCAACCGUGGUGGCUAAGAAAAUACUGGAGGAAAUUUUUCCAAGAUUUGGAAUACCUAAGGUAAUAGGGUCAGACAAUGGUCCAGCUUUCGUUGCCCAGGUAAGUCAGGGACUGGCCAAGAUAUUGGGGAUUGAUUGGAAACUGCAUUGUGCAUACAGACCCCAAAGCUCAGGACAGGUAGAGAGGAUGAAUAGAACCAUUAAAGAGACCCUUACCAAAUUGACCACAGAGACUGGCAUUAAUGAUUGGAUAGCUCUCCUGCCCUUUGUGCUUUUUAGGGUGAGGAACACCCCUGGACAGUUUGGGCUGACCCCCUAUGAAUUGCUCUACGGGGGACCCCCCCGUUGGCAGAAAUUGCCUUUGCACAUAGUGCUGAUGUGCUGCUUUCCCAGCCUUUGUUCUCUAGGCUCAAGGCGCUCGAGUGGGUGAGGCAGCGAGCGUGGAAGCAGCUCCGGGAGGCCUACUCAGGAGGAGACUUGCAAGUUCCACAUCGCUUCCAAGUUGGAGAUUCAGUCUAUGUUAGACGCCACCGUGCAGGAAACCUCGAGACUCGGUGGAAGGGACCUUAUCUCGUACUUUUGACCACACCAACGGCUGUGAAAGUCGAAGGAAUCCCCACCUGGAUCCAUGCAUCCCACGUUAAGCCGGCGCCACCUCCCGAUUCGGGGUGGAAAGCCGAAAAGACUGAAAAUCCCCUUAAGCUUCGCCUCCAUCGCGUGGUUCCUUACUCUGUCAAUAACUCCUCAAGUUAAUGGUAAACGCCUUGUGGACAGCCCGAACUCCCAUAAACCCUUAUCUCUCACCUGGUUACUUACUGACUCCGGUACAGGUAUUAAUAUUAACAGCACUCAAGGGGAGGCUCCCUUGGGGACCUGGUGGCCUGAAUUAUAUGUCUGCCUUCGAUCAGUAAUCCCUGGUCUCAAUGACCAGGCCACACCCCCCGAUGUACUCCGUGCUUACGGGUUUUACGUUUGCCCAGGACCCCCAAAUAAUGAAGAAUAUUGUGGAAAUCCUCAGGAUUUCUUUUGCAAGCAAUGGAGCUGCGUAACUUCUAAUGAUGGGAAUUGGAAAUGGCCAGUCUCUCAGCAAGACAGAGUAAGUUACUCUUUUGUUAACAAUCCUACCAGUUAUAAUCAAUUUAAUUAUGGCCAUGGGAGAUGGAAAGAUUGGCAACAGCGGGUACAAAAAGAUGUACGAAAUAAGCAAAUAAGCUGUCAUUCGUUAGACCUAGAUUACUUAAAAAUAAGUUUCACUGAAAAAGGAAAACAAGAAAAUAUUCAAAAGUGGGUAAAUGGUAUGUCUUGGGGAAUAGUGUACUAUGGAGGCUCUGGGAGAAAGAAAGGAUCUGUUCUGACUAUUCGCCUCAGAAUAGAAACUCAGAUGGAACCUCCGGUUGCUAUAGGACCAAAUAAGGGUUUGGCCGAACAAGGACCUCCAAUCCAAGAACAGAGGCCAUCUCCUAACCCCUCUGAUUACAAUACAACCUCUGGAUCAGUCCCCACUGAGCCUAACAUCACUAUUAAAACAGGGGCGAAACUUUUUAACCUCAUCCAGGGAGCUUUUCAAGCUCUUAACUCCACGACUCCAGAGGCUACCUCUUCUUGUUGGCUUUGCUUAGCUUCGGGCCCACCUUACUAUGAGGGAAUGGCUAGAGGAGGGAAAUUCAAUGUGACAAAGGAACAUAGAGACCAAUGUACAUGGGGAUCCCAAAAUAAGCUUACCCUUACUGAGGUUUCUGGAAAAGGCACCUGCAUAGGGAUGGUUCCCCCAUCCCACCAACACCUUUGUAACCACACUGAAGCCUUUAAUCGAACCUCUGAGAGUCAGUAUCUGGUACCUGGUUAUGACAGGUGGUGGGCAUGUAAUACUGGAUUAACCCCUUGUGUUUCCACCUUGGUUUUCAACCAAACUAAAGACUUUUGCGUUAUGGUCCAAAUUGUCCCCCGGGUGUACUACUAUCCCGAAAAAGCAGUCCUUGAUGAAUAUGACUAUAGAUAUAAUCGGCCAAAAAGAGAGCCCAUAUCCCUGACACUAGCUGUAAUGCUCGGAUUGGGAAUGGCUGCAGGCGUGGGAACAGGAACGGCUGCCCUAAUCACAGGACCGCAACAGCUGGAGAAAGGACUUAGUAACCUACAUCGAAUUGUAACGGAAGAUCUCCAAGCCCUAGAAAAAUCUGUCAGUAACCUGGAGGAAUCCCUAACCUCCUUAUCUGAAGUGGUUCUACAGAACAGAAGGGGUUAGAUCUGUUAUUUCUAAAAGAAGGAGGGUUAUGUGUAGCCUUAAAAGAGGAAUGCUGCUUUUAUGUGGAUCAUUCAGGAGCUAUCAGGGACUCCAUGAGCAAGCUCAGAGAAAGGUUAGAAAAACGUCACAAAGAAAAAGAGGCUGGCCAAGGAUGGUUUGAGGGAUGGUUCAACAAGUCCCCAUGGGUGACCACCCUGCUUUCUGCUCUAACAGGACCCCUAGUAAUACUGCUCCUGUUGCUUACAGUUGGGCCUUGCUUAAUUAAUCGGUUUGUUGCCUUUGUUAGAGAACAAGUGAGUGCAGUUCGGAUCAUGGUACUUAGACAGCAGUACCAAGGCCUUCCAAGCUAAGGAGAAACUGACCUUUAGCCUUCCUAGUUCUAAGAUUAGAACUAUUAACAAGAGAAGAAGUGGGGAA